UGCAUCGGCCGGGAAUCGAACCCUUGGCCGCCCGCGUGGCAGGCGAGCAUUCUACCACUGAACCACCGAUGC
rnacentral:tRNA from 1 species